AGCAACCGAUAAGUACUCAGUCAGCAGAUCCUGAAAGAUUUAGUACUUCACUGAAUGAUUUGAAACAACGGAUAAGUACUCAGUCAGCAGAUCCUGAAAGAUUUAGUACUUCACUGAAUGAUUUGAAACAACCGAUAAGUACUCAGUCAGUAGAUCCUGAAAGAUUUAGUACUUCACUGAAUGAUUUGAAACAACCAAUAAAUACUCAGUCAGUAGAUCCUGAAAGAUUUAGUACUUCACUGAAUGAUUUGAAACAACCGAUAAAUACUCAGUCAGUAGAUCCUGAAAGAUUUAGUACUUCACUGAAUGAUUUGAAACAACCGAUAAGUACUCCGUCAGUAGAUCCUGAAAGAUUUAGUACUUCACUGAAUGAUUUGAAACAACGGAUAAGUACUCAGUCAGUAGAUCCUGAAAGAUUUAGUACUUCACUGAAUGAUUUGAAACAACGGAUAAGUACUCAGUCAGUAGAUCCUGAAAGAUUUAGUACUUCACUGAAUGAUUUGAAACAACGGAUAAGUACUCAGUCAGUAGAUCCUGAAAGAUUUAGUACUUCACUGAAUGAUUUGAAACAACGGAUAAGUACUCCGUCAGUAGAUCCUGAAAGAUUUAGUACUUCACUGAAUGAUUUGAAACAACCGAUAAGUACUCAGUCAGUAGAUCCUGAAAGAUUUAGUACUUCACUGAAUGAUUUGAAACAACCGAUAAGUACUCAGUCAGUAGAUCCUGAAAGAUUUAGUACUUCACUGAAUGAUUUGAAACAACCGAUAAGUACUCCGUCAGUAGAUCCUGAAAGAUUUAGUACUUCACUGAAUGAUUUGAAACAACCGAUAAGUACUCCGUCAGUAGAUCCUGAAAGAUUUAGUACUUCACUGAAUGAUUUGAAACAACGGAUAAGUACUCCGUCAGUAGAUCCUGAAAGAUUUAGUACUUCACUGAAUGAUUUGAAACAACGGAUAAGUACUCAGUCAGUAGAUCCUGAAAGAUUUAGUACUUCACUGAAUGAUUUGAAACAACGGAUAAGUACUCCGUCAGUAGAUCCUGAAAGAUUUAGUACUUCGCUGAAUGAUUUGAAACAACGGAUAAGUACUCCGUCAGUAGAUCCUGAAAGAUUUAGUACCUCACUGAAUGAUUUGAAACGAUCGAUAAAUACUCCGUCAGUAGUUCCUGAAAGAUUUAGUACUUCACUAAAUAAUUUUAAGCAAUCAUUAAGUACUUCACCAAAUUACUUUGAAACAUUAAGUACAUCAGUGAAUGAUUUUGAAAGAAUCAAUACCUCACUGACUGAUUUUAAACGAUCAUUAAGUAGUUUGCCAAAGGAUCCUGAAAGAUCUAGUACUGCACUGAAUCAUUUUAAGCAAUCAUUAAGUACUUCAGCAAAUUACUUUGAAAUAUUAAGUACAUCAAUGAAUGAUUUUGAAGGAAUCAAUACCUCACUGACUGAUUUUAAACGAUCAUUAAGUAGUUUGCCAAAGGAUCCUGAAAGAUUUAGUACUUCUGUGUAUGGUGUUAAACAAACAUUAAUUAAUACACUGAAUGAUGUUGAAAGAUUAAGUACAUUACAGAAUGAUUUUAAGCGAUCUUUAAGUUCUUCACCUGUUGAUCCUGAGAGAUUAACUGAUUUUAAGAGAUAUGAGAGAUCUUCUACGAAUGUUUUCGAAAGUUCUUCAAGCACUUCGUCAAAUACUUCGUUGAAUAUUUCUGCAAAUCCUUUUACACAUGCUCAAGGUGAUCCUGAGAGAUCUCUAGGCACCACAACGAAUGGCUUUGAGAAUCAAAGUGAUUCUGAAAUGUUUAGUACAUUGCAGAAUGUAUCUGAAACGAGCGUAAGUACUUCUCAGAAAAAAUCUAAAUGGUCUUUAAGCACUUCAUCAAAUGGUUCUAAAAGGUCCGUAAGUUCUGCACCAAAUGAUAUUGAGAUAUCUUUAAAUACUUCACCGAAUAAUCUUUUGUGGUCUAUGAAUACCUCAUUGGAUGAUUCUAUGGUAUUUUUAAAUACUUCAGCAAAUGAUACCAAAGGAUUAAGUACUUCCCCAAAUAGUUAUGAGAAGUUUUCAAUUAGUACCCAAAAUGAGUCUGAAAGACAUCCAAACAUGUCUAAAGGUUCUUCAGGGACAGCAAGAAAUUAUUUGAAAAGCUCUUCCAAUACCUCAGCAAAUAAUUCUGAAAGAGUUUUAAGUACUUCAUCAAAUAUUUUUGAAAGGUCUUUACCAAAUACUUCUGUAAGUUCUCCUAGUACUGUAUUAAAUUAUUCUGACAUUUCUGUGAGUUCUACACUGAAUAACUCUGUAUUUACUUUAAACACUUUAUUGAACAAUCCUAAAAGAUCCUUAAAUACCGCAACAAAUCAAACUGAUGGAGCAACACCUGCAACAUCCCUUCCUGUGGAUUUUAAUAAUGUUAAUGGUUCAAGUGAAGAAGGCUCAUCUGUUAUGUCAUCUGUACCGCCAAUUGAUUAUUAUACAAAUGGCUCGAGUUUCACUUCACGUGCUGAAACCACCACUGCAACAAGUCACCUAGUUCCCAGAAUUACUGAUAAUUUCUUAAAUACUACAUUUUUUCCUACAAUAAACAAUAUUACUAAAUUUACUACAACUACAUUGUCUUCAACACAAUCAGGUUCUCAAAGUUUAAUGAACAGUUCCGGAGAAUUAAAUUCUAACUUUACAACAGCUAAUUCAUCUGAAACAGAUUUUGUCGAAUCAAAGACCAAUGGCACACAUGCAGCAAGAACACCACCACUGAAUGACCUCCCUGAACCAAGAACAGAUUCUCCCAGAAUUGCACUGCCCAAGCCGACACAUGCACACGUAUCACUUUCUACCAUAGGAUCACUCAAAGAAGAAGCUGUGAGGACAUCAUCAACACCAGUUGUUGUAACAUUUGGUUCUAAUACUGGAAGUUAUACUGUGAUUUCACAAAUUUCCACUGACAUACCAAAGCCAACAUUAAGUAAUAUCACUGGGAGUGAAUUUGCCACAACAUGGUCUAGUCCAGGACUUCUUACAAAUCCUUUACCAAGAGACAAAACAUCGACAAUUACCAUGCCUACAACUAGUGUUAUUAAAACAACUGAACCAGGCAGGACAAGAACUUUAGCUAUCAUUAACACAUGGACCAGCAUAAAAACUUCAACUACCACUAAGACCUCAACCAUCUCAAGUAUUCAGACCAGUGCAAUGAUACCAACAAGCACAAGGACAUCAGAUAUUAGCACAGAUUUUCCAGCCAUCACCAUGGUGCCUAUGCCAACGACAGUGCCUCCUACCACUAUAGGCAGAGCUGCACCUGAGCCAUCAACAAUGACUCAGGUUACCACAAGUAUAUCUCAAGUCCCCACAGCGGAGAAUGCCUGCAUCUCAAAUCCAUGUCUUAAUGGAGGUACUUGUAUCAAUGGCCGUAAUAGCAGAAAAAAAUGUCUAUGCCCACCAAGCUGGCAAGGGAUGAAUUGCAGCAAAGAUGUGGAUGAAUGCCUUUCAAAUCCAUGUCCGUCUCCUGCAAAAUGUGUUAAUAAUUUGGGGUCUUUCUCCUGCAAGUGUCAGCCAGGGUAUUACUUUGAAAAGGGAACAGGAUGCAUUUUGGCAAAGACCUUUGCUGGUGUUCUCCACAUGGCCAACAAAUCUGGAAUAUCAAGAUAUGAGCUGGAAGGAGAUAUUUUGAAAAUACUUAAUGCUUCUCUGUUUUACCUGAAUGAUUACUACACAUCUGUUGUUGCAGAUUUAAGUGAGACUAAUGACAGUGUAUCUGUCUUGAACAUGUUUGUUCACUCAUCAAAUGUGACCCUCGAGGAAGUGCGGAGCAGUGUGCAAAAUUACAUUAGCAGUUGCCAAUCUAACACUGGAAGCUGCCAGAUUGUGCAAAGUCAACGACUACUCUACAAAGCUGAAACGUUAUGCAGCUUUAAUGUGCCAAAAUGUGACAAUGCAACUGCAGAAUGUAAUGCUGAUAGCGGGACUGCAGAAUGUCUGUGUAAGGACGGUUAUUUCAAGUACAAUGAUAUGGAUCAUUCAUGUCGAGCAUGUGAUGAUGGCUAUAAAUUAGUGAAUGGAACCUGCACCCCUUGUCUGUUUGGAUUUGGUGGAUUCAACUGUAAAAAUCCUUACAAACUCAUCACUGUGGUGAUUGCUGCAGCUGGGGGUGGACUGCUGCUAAUUUUGGGCAUCGCAUUAACUAUCACAUGUUGCAGGAAAGAGAAGAAUGAUAUCACCAAACUGAUCUUCAAGAGUGCUGAGUUUCAAAGAUCCAGCUAUGCUGAGUUCCCCAAAAAUCCCCGGAUAUCGGUAGAGUGGGGCAGGGAAACAAUAGAGAUGCAGGAGAAUGGCAGCACAAAAAACCUACUACAGAUGACAGACAUAUACUAUUCAUCUGGCUUCAGGGGCUCAGAAGUGGAUAGGAAUGGCCUGCACCCUUACAGUGGUCUACCAGGAUCACGUUACUCUUGCAUAUACACUGGACAAUACAAUCCAUCCUUCAGCAGUGAGGAAUCAAGGAGACGAGACUAUUUUUAGCCAAUGUAAUAAAUGCGUUUGUCAAAAACAAAUGCGGGACCAUUGAGUCAGAAAUGAGUGGAAUUAUUGACAAAAAAACUGGAUUCUGAACAUUGAUGGCAAAGGACCAGUGCAAUGUGAAGGAGAAGCUGCCUGCAUUGUAUUUCUCACAGCAACUUCACUGUGAUGGACAAACAAUGGGACUCGUAUCAUCAGCUGUACUGAAUAAAUUCUUUAGUUACAGCGUAAAAACUGCUACAAAUGGGCAAGAUACACUGUAUUUUUGAAAUUCAUGUUUCUAGUUUAUUAAUAACUUAUAAACUGAUACAGUAUUUUCUUACGGAUCAAAUAAUAAAUGUUGCACAGCUCUAAGAAACACUAACUGAUGAAUUUGUGGAAGAUGCUGUUGUCAUCUCUACCCUAGACUCAAUUAUUAUUUGGAAGAACAGAAAAGGAGAUUUACAACCAAUCAAGGUUUGGACUUCAUUCAUACUGGAGUUGUUAGCACCAGCUAUAUGAAUUGUUGACUGAUUCUAUAUUACAUUUUUUUCAUCAUUCAUUCUUUUCCUUAACAAUAGAUCUUCCAGAUGCAAAACAUUUUAUAGAAGAAAAUUGUUCUUGUGGAAACGCUGAAAAAUUGCACUUAGAAUACCACAUGCCUUCUAGCAGCCCAUUGUGCAGGGAUUUAUAUUGUUCUUUUUGAAUUCUGAUUGUUAUUUUCAGAGCAUUCAGAAUCUCUUUAUUACCAACCACUGCAAUUGCUUUACUUCUGAGCGACUGAACAGUUAUCCUUACACGUGACGUAAAACUGCUCUGCGUCAAUUGGUCCACAUUGUUCCAUAUUUAUGCUGCGACUUUGUGUAGCUGUUGCAUUUUUCUGCCUGUGGUAUAUUUAAAUGAAUCUCUUAACUCAACUGGCAGCUCCAUUCUCAAUAUUUUGAAGAAUAGAAAAUAACUUAUGAACAGGAAAUGGUUGUUAACUCUAAUAUGGUGUGUCCAUUUUAAUUAAUCUUUAUAUCAGUUUUGACACCUGUAUAAUCAUGUUUCUCAAUACAUUCUUCAGAAUCUAUUUGCACUUUGAGUCAUAGAAAAGUACAGCACAGAUACAUGCCCUUUGUCCCAUCUAGUCUGUGCAAGCAAUUUAAACUGCCAACUGCCUAUCAUAUCGAAAUCUCAUCUUCUGGCUGUGUGACCUUAACCAGGAAGAUAAACGAUGGUUAAGUAUAUUCUAACUGCUCCAAUUUCCUGUACAAAAAUGGAUUACUUCAAGCUCAUUUUUUUUUCCCCUGAUUCUAAUUGUUGUACUAGAAUUUACACUGGAAAAACAGAAAUGGGUGUCAGAUGACUUUGAAAUGACCUGAGUGAAGCCCUUCUUGACACACCUAAAUUACAGUUUCGAAUUGUCAGCAACACAAAGCAAGCUACACAAGGCUUCAGCUAGAGUUGAAAGCAGCCUAAGAGAAACAUGUUGGCUCAAUCAGUGAAAAUAGCGGUUCUUCUUGGGAUUAUUUAUUGCCUGUUAUCCAGAGCAACGUGUGAUCAAGGGCGAUGAUGACUGCGUCACGGAGGUCCUGUGGUAGUUUACCUUGUUCCCAGCAGCAGACAAAGAGCUCGUGGAGUUUGGCGUGUAACACUGGGCCACCAUGCUUCCAAAUCUCAGGUGGGAUUCCAUCGACUCCCGCUGCCUUGCCACUUUUCAGCUGCUCUAUGGCCUUGACUGUCUCUUCUAGGGUUGGAAUCUUGUCCAGUUCUGUUUUCUCUGGCUGUUGUGGGAUGCGAUGAAUUGCUGAGUCUUGGGCCAUGCGGUUGGCGCUGAAAAGAGCCUGGAAAUGUUCCGACCACCAGUUCAGGAUGGACGCCUUGCCUGUGAGGAGCGCCUGACCGUCUGCACUGCGCAAGGGACGCUGGACCUGGUGCGAAGGGCCGUACACCGCUCUCAGGGCUUCAUAAAACCCUCUGUAGUCACUGGUGUCUGCGCAAAGCUGAGUUCUCUUUGCAAGGUUGGUCCACCACAUGUUCUGAAUCUCUCGAAACUUGUGCUGGAGGUUGCUGCAUACAAGGUGGAAGGCUGCUUUCUUAUCAGGACAAGAUGGCUGAGCAAGGUGGGCAGAUCUCUUCUUCGCCAGCAAUUCUUGGAUCUCCUGGUUGUUUUCAUUGAACCAGUCCUUGUUCUUCUUUGUGGAAAACCCUAGGACUUCUUCAGAGGUUUGCAGGAUGGUGGUUUUUAUGUGUUCCUAAAGCACUUCUGGAGAGGAGUCUGUGGGGAAACCAGGAUCCUGAAGCCUCGACUGAAGAUUUGUCUGAAAGUCAGCUUUCACUUCAGCUGACUGGAGGUUGCCAACCUGAAACUUCUUCCUUGGAGUGCCUUCUCUCUUUGGUUUGGGUUUGAAAUGGAGACUGAGUUUGCAGCGGACAAGACGAUGGUCCGUAUGACACUCUGUGCUGGGCAUCACUCGGGUGAGUAAGGUCUCUCUGGCGAACCAAGAUGUAGUCUAUGAGGUGCCAAUGCUUGGAACGCUGAUGUAUCCAGGUUGUCUUCAGACUGUCUUUCUGCUGGAAAAUGGUGUUAGUGAUGGCGAGUUGCAGUGCUAGUGAUCAUGCGGCUCACCUGAGAACUGGGAGAAAUUCAGAGUCCAGCAGAGGGGGACAAAGGGCUUAAUUAGGAAAGGAAAAAAAGAUUAUGAGAGAAAACUUGCAGGGAACAUAAAAACUGACUGUACAAGCUUUUACAGAUAUGUGAAAAGAAAAAAGAUUGGUUAAGACAAAUGUAGGUUCCUUACCGACUGAAACAGGUGAAUUGAUUAUGGGGAGCAAGGACAUGGCAGACCAAUUGAAUAACUACUUUGGUUCUGUCUUCACUAAGGAGGACAUAAAUAAUCUUCCAGAAAUAGUAGGGGACAGAGGGUCUAGUGAGAUGGAGGAAAUGAGGGAAAUACAUGUUAGUAGGGAAGUGGUGUUAGGUAAAUUGAAGGGAUUAAAGGCAGAUAAAUCCCCAGGGCCAGAUGGUCUGCAUCCCAGAGUGCUUAAGAAAGUAGCCCAAGAAAUAGUGGAUGCAUUAGUGAUAAUUUUUCAAAACGCUUUAGAUUCUGGAUUAGUUCCUGAGGAUUGGAGGGUGGCUAAUGUAAUCCCACUUUUUGAAAAAGGAGGGAGAGAGAAACUGGGGAAUUAUAGACUGGUUAGCCUAACAUCGGUGGUGGGGAAACUGCUAGAGUCAGUUAUCAAAGAUGUGAUAACAGCACAUUUGGAAAGCGGAGAAAUCAUCGGACAAAGUCAGCAUGGAUUUGUGAAAGGAAAAUGACGAAUCUCAUAGAAUUUUUUGAGGAUGUAACUAGUAGAGUGGAUAGGGGAGAACCAGUGGAUGUGAUAUAUUUGGAUUUUCAAAAGGCUUUUGACAAGGUCCCACACAGGAGAUUAGUGUGCAAACUUAAAGCACACGGUAUUGCGGGUAAGGUAUUGAUGUGGAUAGAGAAUUGGUUGGCAGACAGGAAGCAAAGAGUGGGAAUAAACGGGACCUUUUCAGAAUGGCAGACAGUGACUAGUGGGGUACCGCAAGGCUCAGUGCUGGGACCCCAGUUGUUUACAAUAUAUAUUAAUGACUUAGAAGAGGGAAUUAAAUGCAGCAACUCCAAAUUUGCAGAUGACACGAAGCUGGGUGGCAGUGUUAGCUGUGAGGAGGAUGCUAAGAGGAUGCAGGGUGACUUGGAUAGGUUAGGUGAGUGGGCAGAUUCAUGGCAGAUACAAUUUAAUGUGGAUAAAUGUGAGGUUAUCCACUUUGGUGGCAAAAACAGGAAAACAGGUUAUUAUCUGAAUGGUGGCCGAUUAGGAAAGGGGGAGAUGCAACGAGGCCUGGGUGUCAUUGUACACCAGUCAUUGAAAAUGGGCAUGCAGGUACAGCAGGCGGUGAAAAAGGCAAAUGGUAUGCUGGCAUUUAUAGCGAGAGGAUUCGAGUACAGGCGCAGGGAGGUACUACUGCAGUUGUACAAGGCCUUGGUGAGACCACACCUGGAGUAUUGUGUGCAGUUUUGGUCCCCUAAUCUGAGGAAAGACAUUCUUGCCAUAGAGGGAGUACAAAGAAGUUUCACCAGAUUGAUUCCUGGGAUGGCAGGACUUUCAUAUGAAGAAAGACUGGAUGAACUGGGCUUGUAUUCAUUGGAAUUUAGAUGAUUGAGGGGGGAUCUGAUUGAAACGUAUAAAAUCCUAAAGGGAUUGGACAGGCUAGAUGCAGGAAGGUUGUUCCCGAUGUUGGGGAAGUCCAGA